rnacentral:rRNA from 1 species
GUAGGGAAUCUUCCACAAUGGACGCAAGUCUGAUGGAGCAACGCCGCGUGAGUGAAGAAGGCUUUCGGGUCGUAAAACUCUGUUAUUGAAGAAGAACGUGUGUGACAGUAACUGGUCAUGCAGUGACGGUAUUCAAAUCAGAAAAGUCACGGCUAACUACGUGCCAGCAGCCGCGGUAAUACGUAGGUGGCAAGCGUUGUCCGGAUUUAUUGGGCGUAAAAGCGGGUGCAGGCGGUCUUUUAAGUCUGAUG